CCUACGGGUGGCUGCAGUGGGGAAUAUUGGACAAUGGGGGGAACCCUGAUCCAGCCAUGCCGCGUGUGUGAAGAAGGCCCUCGGGUUGUAAAGCACUUUCAGUGAGGAAGAACGCCUGGUGGUUAAUACCCAUCAGGAAAGACAUCACUCACAGAAGAAGCACCGGCUAACUCCGUGCCAGCAGCCGCGGUAAUACGGAGGGUGCGAGCGUUAAUCGGAAUUACUGGGCGUAAAGCGCGCGUAGGUGGCUUGAUAAGCCGGUUGUGAAAGCCCCGGGCUCAACCUGGGAACGGCAUCCGGAACUGUCAAGCUAGAGUGCAGGAGAGGAAGGUAGAAUUCCCGGUGUAGCGGUGAAAUGCGUAUAGAUCGGGAGGAAUACCAGUGGCGAAGGCGGCCUUCUGGACUGACACUGACACUGAGGUGCGAAAGCGUGGGUAGCAAACAGGAUUAGAUACCCUAGUAGUC
rnacentral:rRNA from 1 species